AGUGAACGCUGGCGGUAGGCCUAACACAUGCAAGUCGAACGGCAGCACAGUAAGAGCUUGCUCUUACGGGUGGCGAGUGGCGGACGGGUGAGGAAUACAUCGGAAUCUACUUUUUCGUGGGGGAUAACGUAGGGAAACUUACGCUAAUACCGCAUACGACCUACGGGUGAAAGCAGGGGAUCUUCGGACCCUGCGCGAUUGAAUGAGCCGAUGUCGGAUUAGCUAGUUGGCGGGGUAAAGGCCCACCAAGGCGACGAUCCGUAGCUGGUCUGAGAGGAUGAUCAGCCACACUGGAACGGAGACACGGUCCAGACUCCUCCGGGAGGCAGCAGUGGGGAAUAUUGGACAAUGGGCGCAAGCCUGAUCCAGCCAUCCCGCGUGGGUGAAGAAGGCCUUCGGGUUGUAAAGCCCUUUUGUUGGGAAAGAAAAGCAGCAGGUUAAUACCCCGCUGUUCUGACGGUACCCAAAGAAUAAGCACCGGCUAACUUCGUG
rnacentral:rRNA from 1 species